rnacentral:rRNA from 1 species
UGGGGAAAUAUUGCGCAAUGGGGGCAACCCUGACGCAAGCCAUGCCGCGUGAAUGAAGAAGGCCUUCGGGUUGUAAAGUUCUUUCGGUGACGAGGAAGGCGUGAUGUUUAAUAGGCAUCACGAUUGACGUUAAUCACAGAAGAAGCACCGGCUAACUCCGUGCCAGCAGCCGCGGUAAUACGGAGGGUGCGAGCGUUAAUCGGAAUAACUGGGCGUAAAGGGCACGCAGGCGGCUAUUUAAGUGAGGUGUGAAAGCCCCGGGCUUAACCUGGGAAUUGCAUUUCAGACUGGGUAACUAGAGUACUUUAGGGAGGGGUAGAAUUCCACGUGUAGCGGUGAAAUGCGUAGAGAUGUGGAGGAAUACCGAAGGCGAAGGCAGCCCCUUGGGAAUGUACUGACGCUCAUGUGCGAAAGCGUGGGGAGCAAACAGGAUUAGAUACCCUGGUAGUCCACGCUGUAAACGCUGUCGAUUUGGGGAUUGGGCUUAAAGCUUGGUGCCCGUAGCCAACGUGAUAAAUCGACCCGCCUGGGGAGUACGGCCGCAAGGUUA